GAACCUUACCUGGGCUCGAACGGGCUGGUCAACGGAGGUGGAAACAUCUUUACCCCGCAAGGGGGUCCAGUCGAGGUGCUGCAUGGCUGUCGUCAGCUCGUGUCGUGAGAUGUUGGGUUAAGUCCCGCAACGAGCGCAACCCUUGUCCUGUGUUGCCAUCAUUCAGUUGGGAACUCGCAGGAGACCGCCAGCGAUAAGCUGGAGGAAGGUGGGGAUGACGUCAAGUCCUCAUGGCCUUUAUGUCCAGGGCUACACACGUGCUACAAUGGCCGGUACAAACCGCAGCAAACCCGCAAGGGGGAGCCAAUUGGAAAAAACCGGUCUCAGUUCGGAUUGCAGGCUGCAACUCGCCUGCAUGAAGCUGGAAUCGCUAGUAAUGGCAGAUCAGCACGCUGCCGUGAAUACGUUCCCGGGCCUUGUCACACCGA
rnacentral:rRNA from 1 species